AUUGAACGCUGGCGGCAGGCUUAACACAUGCAAGUCGAACGAGUGGCGGACGGGUGAGUAACGUCUGGGAAACUGCCUGAUGGAGGGGGAUAACUACUGGAAACGGUAGCUAAUACCGCAUACCAUCAGAUGGGCCGAGAGGGGAGUAGCUAGUUGGUGGGGUAAAGGCUCACCAAGGCGACGAUCCCUAGCUGGUCUGAGAGGAUGACCAGCCAAACUGGAACUGAGACACGGCCCAGACUCCUACGGGAGGCAGCAGUGGGGAAUAUUGCAAAAUGGGCUCAAGCCUGAUGCAGCCAUGCCGAGUGUAUGAAGAAGGCCUUCGGGUUGUAAAGUACUUUCGGCGGGGAGGCGGUACCCGCAGAAGAAGCACCGGCUAACUCCGUGCCAGCAGCCGCGGUAAUAC
rnacentral:rRNA from 1 species